ACACGACUACAUUAGAUACCCGCGUAGUCCUAGCCGUAAACGAUACUCGCUAGGUGUCGGCCACGGUGCGACCGUUGUCGGUGCCGUAGGGAAGCCGUGAAGCGAGCCACCUGGGAAGUACGGCCGCAAGGCUGAAACUUAAAGGAAUUGGCGGGGGGAGCACAACAACGGGUGGAGCUUGCGGUUUAACUGGAUUCAACGCCGGAAAUCUUACCGGGACCGACAGCAACAUGAAGGCCAGGCUGAAGACUUUGCCGGAUUAGCUG
rnacentral:rRNA from 1 species